UUCCGUAGGUGAACCUGCGGAGGGAUCAUUACCGAGUUUACAACUCCCAAACCCAAUGUGAACGUUACCAAACUGUUGCCUCGGCGGGGUCACGCCCCGGGUGCGUCGCAGCCCCGGAACCAGGCGCCCGCCGGAGGAACCAACCAAACUCUUUCUGUAGUCCCCUCGCGGACGUAUUUCUUACAGCUCUGAGCAAAAAUUCAAAAUGAAUCAAAACUUUCAACAACGGAUCUCUUGGUUCUGGCAUCGAUGAAGAACGCAGCGAAAUGCGAUAAGUAAUGUGAAUUGCAGAAUUCAGUGAAUCAUCGAAUCUUUGAACGCACAUUGCGCCCGCCAGUAUUCUGGCGGGCAUGCCUGUCCGAGCGUCAUUUCAACCCUCGAACCCCUCCGGGGGAUCGGCGUUGGGGAUCGGGACCCCUCACACGGGUGCCGGCCCCGAAAUACAGUGGCGGUCUCGCCGCAGCCUCUCCUGCGCAGUAGUUUGCACAACUCGCACCGGGGGCGCGGCGCGUCCACGUCCGUAAAACACCCAACUUUCUGAAAUGUUGACCUCGGAUCAGGUAGGAAUACCCGCUGAACUUAAGCAUAUCAAUAAGCGGAGGA
rnacentral:rRNA from 1 species